UAACAACGAACUGCAAGAAGUCAGCAGAGGUCAUAGUACCGAAAGGAAUUUCGGGAAGGAC
rnacentral:ncRNA from 1 species